rnacentral:rRNA from 1 species
UACGUAGGGCGCAAGCGUUGUCCGGAAUUAUUGGGCGUAAAGAGCUCGUAGGCGGCUUGUCACGUCGGGUGUGAAAGCCCGGGGCUUAACCCCGGGUCUGCAUUCGAUACGGGCUAGCUAGAGUGUGGUAGGGGAGAUCGGAAUUCCUGGUGUAGCGGUGGAAUGCGCAGAUAUCAGGAGGAACACCGAUGGCGAAGGCAGAUCUCUGGGCCGUAACUGACGCUGAGGAGCGAAAGCGUGGGGAGCGAACAGG